GUGCCAGCCGCCGCGGUAAAACGUAGGACGCAAGCGUUAUCCGGAGUUACUGGGCGUAAAGGGCGUGCAGGCGGUCGGGUAAGUUCGCCGUGAAAGACUCCGGCUCAACCGGGGGAUGUCGGGGGAGACUGCCGGACUGGAGGGCGGUAGAGGAGCAGGGAAUUCCGGGUGUAGUGGUGAAAUGCGUAGAGAUCCGGAGGAACACCAGUGGCGAAGGCGCUGCUCUGGGCCGCUGCUGACGCUGAGACGCGAAAGCAUGGGGAGCGAACGGGAUUAGAAACCCCCGUAGUCC
rnacentral:rRNA from 1 species